AUUGAACGCUGGCGGCAGGCCUAACACAUGCAAGUCGAACGGUAGCACAGAGAGCUUGCUCUUGGGUGACGAGUGGCGGACGGGUGAGAAAUGUCUGGGAAACUGCCCGAUGGAGGGGGAUAACUACUGGAAACGGUAGCUAAUCCCGCGUAACGUCUUCGCACCAAAGUGGGGGACCUUCGGGCAUUACGCCAUCGGAUGGGCCCAAAUGGGAUUAGCUUGUAGGUGGGGUAACGGCUCACCUAGGCGACGAUCCCUAGCUGGCCUGAGAGGAGGACCAGCCACACUGGAACUGAGACACGGUCCAGACUCCUACGGGAGGCAGCAGUGGGGAAUAUUGCGCAAUGGGCGCAAGCCUGAUGCAGCCAUGCCGCGUGUAUGAAGAAGGCCUUCGGGCUGUAAAGUACUUUCAGUGGGGAGGAAGGCGAUGGAGUUAAUAGCUUCGUCGAUUGACGUUACCCGCAGAAGAAGCACCGGCUAACUCCGUGCCAGCAGCCGCCGUAA
rnacentral:rRNA from 1 species